AAUAUUGCACAAUGGGGGAAACCCUGAUGCAGCGACGCCGCGUGAGCGAAGAAGGCCUUCGGGUCGUAAAGCUCUGUCCUAAGGGAAGAAACGGACGGUACCUUAGGAGGAAGCCCCGGCUAACUACGUGCCAGCAGCCGCGGUAAUACGUAGGGGGCGAGCGUUAUCCGGAAUUAUUGGGCGUAAAGGGUACGUAGGCGGCUAUAUAAGUCAGGUGUGAAAUACCAGUGCUUAACACUGGAAUUGCAUUUGAAACUGUGUAGCUUGAGUGCAGGAGAGGAAAGUGGAAUUCCUAGUGUAGCGGUGAAAUGCGUAGAUAUAGGAAGGAACACCAGUGGCGAAGGCGACUGCCUGGACGAUAACUGACGCUGAGGCACGAAAGCUAGGGGAGCAAACA
rnacentral:rRNA from 1 species